GCAGCACAGUGGUGCAGUGGUUAGCACUGCUGCCUCAUAGCAAGGUCAUGGGUUCGAAUCUGGCCUGGGGCC